UACGUAGGGUGCAAGCGUUGUCCGGAAUCAUUGGCGUAAAGCGCGCGUAGGUGGCUUUGUAAGUCCGUUGUGAAAGUCAAAGGCUCAACCUUUGAAUGCCGAUGGAUACUGCGGAGCUAGAGUACGGAAGAGGCGAGUGGAAUUCCUGGUGUAGCGGUGGAAUGCGCAGAUAUCAGGAGGAACACCAAUAGCGAAGGCAGCUCGCUGGGACGUUACUGACACUAAGGCGCGAAAGCGUGGGGAGCAAACAGG
rnacentral:rRNA from 1 species